AUUGAACGCUGGCGGCAGGCCUAACACAUGCAAGUCGAACGGUAACAGGAAGCAGCUUGCUGCUUUGCUGUCGCGUGGCGGACGGGUGUGUAAUGUCUGGGAGACUGCCCGUUGGCGGGGGAUAACUACUGGAAACGGUAGCUCAUACCGCAUAACGUCGCAAGACCAAAGAGGGGGACCUUAGGGCCUCUUGCCAUCGGAUGUGCCCAGAUGGGAUUAGCUAGUAGUCGGGGGAACGGCUCACCUAGGCGACGAUCCCUAGCUGGUCUGAGAGGAUGACCAGCCACACUGGAACUGAGACACGGUCCAGACUCCUACGGGAGGCAGCAGUGGGGAAUAUUGCACAAUGGGCGCAAGCCUGAUGCAGCCAUGCCGCGUGUAUGAAGAAGGCCUUCGGGUUGUAAAGUACUUUCAGCGGGGAGGAAGAGAGGAAAGUUAAUACCUUUGCGCAUUGACGUUACCCAAAGAAGAAGCACCGGCUAACUCCGUG
rnacentral:rRNA from 1 species